GUUAUCGUUUAUUUGAUAGUACCUUACUACUUGGAUAACCGUGGUAAUUCUAGAGCUAAUACAUGCUAAAAAUCCCGACUUACGGAAGGGAUGUAUUUAUUAGAUUAAAAACCAAUGCCCUUCGGGGCUCACUGGUGAUUCAUGAUAACUCCUCGAAUCGCAUGGCCUUGUGCCGGCGAUGGUUCAUUCAAAUUAUCUUCCCUAUCAACUUUCGAUGUUUGGGUAUUGGCCAAACAUGGUUGCAACGGGUAACGGAGGGUUAGGGCUCGACCCCGGAGAAGGAGCCUGAGAAACGGCUACUACAUCCAAGGAAGGCAGCAGGCGCGCAAAUUACCCAAUCCCGACACGGGGAGGUAGUGACAAUAAAUACUGAUACAGGGCUCUUUUGGGUCUUGUAAUUGGAAUGAGUACAAUUUAAAUCCCUUAACGAGGAACAAUUGGAGGGCAAGUCUGGUGCCAGCAGCCGCGGUAAUUCCAGCUCCAAUAGCGUAUAUUAAAGUUGUUGUGGUUAAAAAGCUCGUAGUUGAACCUUGGGCCUGGCUGGCCGGUCCGCCUCACCGCGUGUACUGGUCCGGCCGGGCCUUUCCCUCUGUGGAACCCCAUGCCCUUCACUGGGUGUGGCGGGGAAACAGGACUUUUACUGUGAAAAAAUUAGAGUGCUCCAGGCAGGCCUAUGCUCGAAUACAUUAGCAUGGAAUAAUAGAAUAGGACGUGUGGUUCUAUUUUGUUGGUUUCUAGGACCGCCGUAAUGAUUAAUAGGGACAGUCGGGGGCAUCAGUAUUCAAUUGUCAGAGGUGAAAUUCUUGGAUUUAUUGAAGACUAACUACUGCGAAAGCAUUUGCCAAGGAUGUUUUCAUUAAUCAGGAACGAAAGUUAGGGGAUCGAAGACGAUCAGAUACCGUCGUAGUCUUAACCAUAAACUAUGCCGACUAGGGAUCGGACGAUGUUAUUAUUUUAACUCUUUCGGCACCUUACCAGAAAUCAAAAUGCUUGGGCUCCCGGGGGAAUAUGGUCGCAAGGUGAAUUAGAUAGU
rnacentral:rRNA from 1 species